AUGGAUUUCGCCCGAAUUAGAUCCCCACCACUAGCAGCGCCUUCUGUACAGAACCGGCGACCAAGAGGAAGCGCGGUCCGACCAGGCUGGCCCGCACGCCAAACAGGGAAGGAGGGGAGGCGCCAGACCGCACGCACCGUCCGCCACAGAAGUCGCCACCGGCUGCCAACGACCAUCGGAUCCCGCCGCCCGCGCGGCCGGGACACCAGAUCCACCGCCCGCACGGCUCCUAGCCGGCCGUGCCUUGCCAAUGAAGCCGCUGCUCCAGAUCCGGAGUUCCCCACGCAAAAGCAGGGCAACCGAGGACCCGCCGCCACCAUCCUUGGCGCCCCGAGAUUGCCCGGUGGCUGCCUCAAGCGGCGGCAAGGAAGGAAAGAGGGGGGGGGGGGUUGA
rnacentral:rRNA from 1 species